AUAAGUCUCAACCUGAUGGACAUUACAAUGUAUCUAUACACAUAAGUCUCAACCUCAUAGUCAUUACAAUACGUCUAUACACAUAAGUCACAACCUGAUGGACAUUACAAUACAUCUAUACACAUAAGUCUCAACCUGAUGGUCAUUACAAUACAUCUGCACGCUUAAGUCUCAACCCGAUAGUCACUGCAACGUAUCUACCAUCUAAGUGUCAAUCUGAUGGUCACUGUAAAGCGUCUGAACACAAAACUCUCAACCGACAAAAUAAAAGCGAUCGUAAACCGCGCGAAAAAGUUGCCUGGCGAUAGAUAGCACGCGAAAGAAUUUUUCGUCGUUUCCAGGCAUAUAACAAACAAACACGGUGAUUGAUUUGCCCUUUAACACAGCUGCCGAUGAAUAUUCAAACGCAUCUGUAGAAACUCGAUGUAUCGUCCCUCUUUCUCUCUUCUGUUUGGCGCGACGAGCACGCGGCGUUAGGCAACCAACGAUACAAAACCGUCCGCUAUUGAAAAUGUUAAACAACUCGAUAUUACAUCACGUUACGCGCGACUAUUAAUUACACCGAUAUACUUAUUCAUCUGCUCGUUCGCGGGGUAUUCACGUGCACAAUUUACGGUCAAUUUGCAACUCGCUACCGUGCUGUCACCGGUUCGAGGCGUAUUAUUUAUAGGCCUUGUUUCUUUCGGCGUCCUCCGCGAAGGAAAGUCGACCGGGAACAAAUGAAAUUGCUAUCGAUGCUCUGGCGAGUGAUGAAUCAAAUUUAAAUCGACCGCUCGGUACUAACUUUGUUAUUGAAAAUAACGCGGUAGCGGUUCGAGUUAACUGUCGCGACCAUUUUUAUACAUACACAAUCGGUGUAAUAAUUAUUCGUAUACGAAUCAUUUAUUUCAAAUUGGUUGCUGUACGAAUACUCCUUACAGCGACUGUACGUCUCAACCUGAUGGACGUUACACUUUAUUUACAUACGCGAAGCUCAGUAAAUUUUGUUCACCGUUCUUCUAACGGAAGUAUUCUCGAAAAUGAUUAAGUGCAGAAAUUAAUUCUACGCUAUUGCACGUUUAAAAAACGUUUCAUGUCGCAAAGACGCGUCCUUUCUCGCCAUUAAAGGUCGUAACCGGUUACGUGACUCAUCCCCGCGUAACUGUCCACCGACGAAUUAUCGAAAGCUGUUCCUCUGUACCUGUACACGCGUUAGACUCGAUCGGCCUUCUUAUUUUCGUGUCCAUCGAUUCAUCGAUCGCGCGUGGCCCACGCCACGUCGGAAAUGUCACACGCGCCGUUCCUUCGUUAUUUUGUAUAAUAGAGCCCUCGUAAAGCAAACGGUAGAGCGGAAUAUAUCGCGCGAUAUAUUAAAUGCACGUGUAGGUCUCUCGGCUUUCGUCGAAGCGAAAGAAAGUAGUCUGUCCCGUUACGAAAUAGCGAGUGAAUGUCGACUAUCUGGGUCAGACAAAAGCGGAACUUCCGCGAGUACUCGACGACCGACGAACAGUUUAACAGCGUGUUCAAUUUUUUAUCAGGUCGUAUAAACGUUCCCUCGGCCCUUGAAUUUUCCAGAAGGAUAAUCGACGCGCGUUGAUAUUUAUCAACGAUGGAUACUAAUACCUAUGCCUUACCAAACCGACUUCGGCAAUUAUUUAUAAAUAAACCGGCAAUGUUUAUGCAUUUAUGGUAAACACGAAGAUAUGGGGAAAUCUAUGAGAAUGUCCACGAAUGCAUGCAAUCGUUAAAUAUCGAUAAUAACGUACGCUUUAUACCGUUUGGAAUAUACAUAAAACAUGUUUCCAUUUAAGUUGAAAUUCUUUUCGUGUAUCGGUGAAAAUAUGAGCUCGCGUAAACAUCCGCGGUGUAUUUUUAAAACAAAACCAGACGACGUUCAAUGUUCCCUCGAUUGCACGUUCCGAGGGAGUGUGCAUGCAGGUUGUAAAAAUAAGUUAUUUUUAUUAUAAAUUGCCGUGCAAAGCCACGUGAUUAAUUUCCGUACCUAAUAUUUUUAAUGUCAGAAAAGUAACAGUAAGCAACAUUUCGCGGCUAUCAAAGGUUCGAUACGCAUUGUAACGACCAUCUGAUUGAGACCUGGAUUUCGAGAAUAUUAUUUAAUUUUGAAUGAGUGCGUAUACCGUUCGGUUACAUUUAGCACGUGCUUAUUAUGUUAAUUUAUAUCGUAAGUGCAUACGAUGCAGUUUAACGAUAAUAAAAUAUUUUCCUUCGCCGAGGGAGAAAGCGAAGGUUGAGUACCCCUGGCUGACUCAACUUCGUAGAAACAAACGAAACGACGAACACAGUGAGCAAGAACUGAACACGUUUCUUUUUUUUUUUUUUUAUAGCGUUUCGUGAAUUUACAGAAGGAUGUCGUGGCCUUCCCAUUUCCGAGCCACGUACCGUUAGUUACUUUUUAUGGGCAGCGCUAGGGAUACGAUUAAUCCUCCGAAAUAUGUCGACGAAUCGCUGUAAACGGUCGACGAUGGCCUCUAAUGGCGUUCCCGUGUCAACGUGGGCCCGUCUUAAAUAUUUAAUCCGUAACCCGAGGUUUAUUUUCAAUAUCCCUGGCCGAAUCACACGGCUCUCGUUUCACCAAUAUGAGAUUUCAUGGAAACGUUGAGGUCCGGCGACCAACUUCGACCCCAGAUAAGCGAGAGCUUUCUUGCUCGCGUUGCAACGUCAACCGACGCGAUAGAUACCGUUCCCGGAUCACGCCAAAUAACAAUCUACAACUUCGUUCUUUUUCUAUUAUUUGCUCGUGUGUAUUUCUAGGCGAUACAUCGUGGUAUUUUAUGGUAUUUUUAUCUAACGAAAUGAGAAAAGGAUCAUUCGAAACAUAUUGAAAGUAAAGUUCAUAUCUGGACGUGAAAUAUACUUUUAGGUUAGGUCUUUAUAUUUUUUUAUAUUUUUAGGUUAGGUUAGCUCUUUAUAGUUUUAUAUAUUUUCGAGGUUAGGUUAGGUCUUUAUACUUUUAUAUAUUUUUGAGUUUAGGUUAGGUCUUUAUAUUGUUAUAUAUUUUUAAGGUUAAGUCAGGUCUUUAUAUUUUUAUAUAUUUUUAGGUUAGGUUAGCUCUUUAUACAUUUAUAUAUUUUCGAAGUUAGGUUAGGUCUUUAUAUUUUUAUAUAUUUUCGAGGUUAGAUUAGGUCUUCAUAUUUUUAUAUAUUUUCGAGGUUAGAUUAGUUUUUUAUAUUUUUAUAUAUUUUUAGGUUAGGUUAGGUCUUUAUAUUUUUAUAUAUUUUUAGGUUAGGUCUGUGCUAGCGGUUUGACACACAAUAAUAAAAAAUAGCGUUCGAAUGUUUCCAAGGAGAAUUAUAAACAGCUUGCGGAUUUAUAUGCAUUUACACGAAAUGUGAAACUACAAAAUGCACGCAAUAUGCCAUAAUAGAAAAUAUAUUGAAAGUGAAUUUCACGUUAUAAUAUUUGCAACAUGAAAUAUAUUUUGAGGUCAGGUCUUACUUAUUUUUAUCUAGAUUCGCAAAGAUUUAAUUCUGCACAAAAAUCCUCUGGGUCUGAUAAAUUUUUCCCAAACUCGUUAAUGAAAAUUUAUCCGAACAGUAUAAUAUAAUUACGUUUCGCGUGGUAUCUGCUUCGACGGAGAUUUCCUAACUGUUUCGAGCUGCGUACCGAUCGAUAGGAAAUUAUACAGGACGUACGCGCGUCCUAUUAUAUGUUAUUAGCUACCGGAGUUUUUAAUAAUUUUCAAUGGUUCCGAGUCACUCGAUACCGCCCUUCGUGAAAACGAUAUAAAUGGGCAUGCACGCUCGGUUUACCGUGGCGCAACCGUUAUUUGAUACGGUACUGCCUUGCGUUACAGGCAUUCCGCGCCAGGUAAAUCGUACACGUGUACUUGUACACGUGCCGGGGCAAAGUUUCGUUCGUUAAUUACGUAAGGACCAUUUUGGCCAUUUUCGCAUCGGAAUUAAUUUAUUUAGUUCCUUACUGAAAAUACCCUGUCACCCCCUUCGCGCUGAUGUUUCCCCUUAAUUGGAAAUGAAACACUUUUUUAAUUAAUUAAAUAAUUAAUUUUAAUGUUUACAUUCGUUGAAUCAAUUUGAAAAAAAUGUCAGCCCACAGGAGUCGACGAGAAGAAACUUUUUUAUAUUUACAGAUUAUUCGUGCAACGCUUAGUUUCGGAAAUAAAAAUGGCAAAAGUUCGAAAUUCGUUGUAGAAAUUGAAUUUCAGAAGAAAGGUCUUCCGAGUUUCCAAUUUUUAUUUUUGAAACGAAACGUCGUAUGCAUGAACUGUAAAUAGAAAAAAGUUCCGUCUUAUCGUUCCCUGUAAGCUGAUAUUUUUUUAAAAAUUCACAACUCUAUGCCCCUUGAAAUUUUUAGCAAAAAUCGCCCCGAUCGUCCAAGGGUCGACCGAAAACGUGUCGUUUGAUUCCUUGCCCACGUGAAACAUUUCCGCGUUCGAUUGAAAAAGGCGUCUUCGAUAGCGUUCGUUUAACGAGUCGAAGCGAAUCGCUAACAACGAAAAAUGGAAACGAGUGGGUCGACUUUGACCCAUUCCAAGUAUCACGAAUCGUCGAUGUACGAGGCGUCGAUGAAUGCGCCGCGUGUCACCAGGCAACAGAGGCGAUAAAACAGCUAUCCGAACUCCAUUUCCGCAAGCAUGCGCCCGAUAGGAAAACACCGAAGGAUAAAUAACUCGAUCCAAGGUAAGUUCUCAGCGGUGUCUAAAUAUAAAUUCGUAACAAAUCGAUAGCGUCGGCACGCGAUCGCGGUAUGUUUCAAUGGACAUUUAUUUAGCGGAUACGCGACCGUCUCACGAACGUGCGAACGCACGUUGACGGAACGUGAUACCGUGCCCUUCUCGCAACCUCCGUCGGUAAAUCCUCUGAAAUUCGUUUCAGGAAAUCGUCGCGCGACGAGUGCGCGAGAUCCAAGUUCAAACCGCGGAGAACAACUUCGAGAAUCGCAGCAAGAGGUUCUCGAGCGUUACGUUGACUUUUUAAUUAGCGUUUGCAUUGUGAUAAAUUGUGAUGCUUAUAUAUAAGGGGUAGACGGUUCGUAGUUUACAAGAUACGCGAUAUUGAUAGAUAAUGAAUGACCAUUUUUUGCCUGGAGAAAUAUAAUCGUUACUAGCAGAAGCAAAUUGGUCAGUAAAGCGUUGGUCUGUUAAAUAAGUUAUAUGUAACGCAUCUAUAUUUAAAAUAAAUUUGAAUUGGAAGAGCGAACAAAAAUAUCCACGACAGAAAGAAAAGUUUAGACACUUUACCGACCGCUAUUUUACCGAGCCGAUUGAUCGGCUUUUUGUCCCCAACGUUUACCGACCGGGAACUGUUUAAUCGGUAGUUAUGGUAACUACCAAGUAUUUGUUACUUUGAAUCGAGAUACUAGUCGCGUUGUAAGCUCCCAUAUUUUUAUACAAGUCCCGUUAACAGAAAUGAUCGGCCGAGUGAACUGGAACCACUACCGGUCGGUAAAGUGUUAACCCUUUGCACUCGAGGCCUUUUUUUCUGGUAUCUCUACUGAUAAUUCUAAGCUAUCUAGAUUUGAGAAUAAGGUCACCUUUACCUCGCUUAAAAACAUUUUAUUGACACUUCGAGCUCCAAAGAAAUGAAACUUAAACAAACGUUAGGUAUUGUAGAUUUGCUGCGUGAAACCUAAUGGUAACUGAGAGUCACACCUCGAGUGCAAAGGGUCAAACAGGCUACUACUGCCUACAUAUCUUCAAAUAAAUAAUAGUCAUUCUUUUUCUAUCGUAUACCUUAUAAGCUACGAACCGUCUUCCCCCAAAUCUA